CAGGCUAUGUCACUAUGGGCCGGUUAUCCACUUACGCCUCAUGCUUCUUAACUGAAAAAUGAGACUAAAAAUAAUUUCUUUUCCAUAAUGUUAGCAAAGUGACAUCUGCAUCUCUCGUCUCAUUUGCAAACCAAGGAUGGAUCUGUAAGAAUGAAAUUGAUGACUGCGUUGAUUCCCCCAAGAGUUCAUCCUUUUCCUGUGGCAAAUCUUCUCCCAAGUGAGAAUCUCUAGAAUCAUCACGACCAAUACCCAGUUACAUCCCAUUUCGAAAUGAAAUAAAACUGACUCCACUCUAAA